UACAGAGGGGGCAAGCGUUGUUCGGAAUUACUGGGCGUAAAGGGCGCGUAGGCGGCCCGCUAAGUCGAACGUGAAAUCCCCGGGCUCAACCCGGGAACUGCGUCCGAUACUGGCAGGCUUGAAUCCGGGAGAGGGAUGCGGAAUUCCAGGUGUAGCGGUGAAAUGCGUAGAUAUCUGGAGGAACACCGGUGGCGAAGGCGGCAUCCUGGACAGGUAUUGACGCUGAGGCGCGAAAGCCAGGGGAGCAAACGGG
rnacentral:rRNA from 1 species